UAUUUAUUAGAUAACAGACCAAUAUUCCUCGUGUCUAUUGUGGUGACUCAUAGUAACUGAUCGGAUCGCAUGGCCUUGUGCCGCGACUAACCAUUCAAGUUUCUGACCCAUCAGCUUUCGAUGGUAGUGUAUUGGACUACCAUGGCUUUCACGGGUAACGGAGGAUUAGGGUUCGAUUCCGGAGAGGGAGCCUGAGAAACGGCUACCACAUCUAAGGAAGGCAGCAGGCGCGUAAAUUACCCAAUCCUGACUCAGGGAGGUAGUGACAAGAAAUAACGGGUCGGGGCAUUCGCCUCGGGAUUGCAAUGAAUCGAAUUUACACCCCUUAAUGAGGAUCAAUUGGAGGGCAAGUCUGGUGCCAGCAGCCGCGGUAAUUCCAGCUCCAAUAGCGUAUAUUAAAGUUGUUGCAGUUAAAAAGCUCGUAGUUUGAUUUCUGGACGGGCGCCAACACCCGCCUGUUUAGUGUGGAGGCGGCGCCCGCCCAUCCUUCUGUUAACGCCACCGGCAUUCGUUUGCUGGCGGCGGGCUCAGAUAUUUUACCUUGAGAAAAUUAGAGUGUUUCAGGCAGGCUUGCGC
rnacentral:rRNA from 1 species